CUGCCUCGACCACUUUCGCCACUACUACUACUAGCUCCAACUCCUUAUCUGGAGGAGCAAAAGAAUCCUUGUUUCAAGCACAACUUUCUGACUUUGAAACAAAAUAUGGCGAACGUAUGGGAAAA
rnacentral:ribozyme from 1 species